rnacentral:rRNA from 1 species
GAGUUUGAUCGUGGCUCAGAUUGAACGCUGGCGGCAUGCCUUACACAUGCAAGUCGAACGGUAACGGGUCCUUCGGGAUGCCGACGAGUGGCGAACGGGUGAGUAAUAUAUCGGAACGUGCCCAGUAGUGGGGAUAACUGCUCGAAAGAGCAGCUAAUACCGCAUACGACCUGAGGGUGAAAGGGGGGGAUCGCAAGACCUCUCGCUAUUGGAGCGGCCGAUAUCAGAUUAGCUAGUUGGUGGGGUAAAGGCCUACCAAGGCAACGAUCUGUAGUUGGUCUGAGAGGACGACCAGCCACACUGGGACUGAGACACGGCCCAGACUCCUACGGGAGGCAGCAGUGGGGAAUUUUGGACAAUGGGCGCAAGCCUGAUCCAGCAAUGCCGCGUGCAGGAAGAAGGCCUUCGGUU